UACAGAGGGUGCGAGCGUUGUCCGGAAUCACUGGGCGUAAAGGGCGCGUAGGCGGCUUGAUAAGCGUGCGGUGAAAGCCCGGGGCUCAACCCCGGGUCGGCCGUGCGAACUGUCGAGCUGGAGCACUGUAGAGGCAGGUGGAAUUCCGGGUGUAGCGGUGGAAUGCGUAGAUAUCAGGAAGAACACCAACGGCGAAGGCAGCUCGCUGGGACGGAACUGACGCUAAGGCGCGAAAGCGUGGGGAGCGAACAGG
rnacentral:rRNA from 1 species